GAACAGUGUACAGUAACGAGGAAGAGUUCGAAACAAGUCAAUGACGUGACGUGCCACUGAUGAUGUGAUCAAACAAAUGGUAGAAGCAUGUGAAAAGCC
ensembl:ncRNA F52E1.15 ncRNA